ACGGUCAUACCUCGUUGAAAUACCGGACCUCGUACGAUCAGCGAAGUUAAGCAACGUCAAGCCUGGUGGGUACCUGGUCGGCUUGUGUGACCGCGCGGGAUUGCCAGGUGCUGUAAG